UAAGUAAGCGGAGGAUAAGAAACUAAACAGGAUUCCCUCAGUAAUGGCGAAUGAACAGGGAUGAGCUCAGCAUGGAAAUCGGGGCCUGUGGCCUUGAAUUGUAGUCUAGAGAUGUAUCACCAACUGGGGCGCAGAUGUAAGCCUUUUGGAAUAGAGCAUCAAUGAGGGUGAAAGUCCCGCUUGGCAUCUGCAGUCCCCAGUGCUCGGUGUGCCUUCUAAGAGUCACGUUCCUCGGGAUUGGAGCGCAAAUUGGGUGGUAAAUUUCAUCUAAAGCUAAAUAUUGCUUCGAGACCGAUAGCAAACAAGUACCAUGAGGGAAAGGUGAAAAGGACUUUGAAAAGAGAGUUAAAAGUGCCUGAAAUUGCUGAAAGGGAAGCGAAUGGAGCCAGCAUGGCUUGGCAAGAUUGCUACGUGUCAAUGUGAGUGCUUGCUGCUGCAAUGAAAAUGAGGUAGUGAGUUUUGAACAGGACAUGCGUGGUGCAUCCUGCCUUGUGUGUCACUGCCAGUUCACAGCUGGGGAAAACUUCAGGUACAUGGUAGCCUGUCCUUGGGUGGGUGAACGUGCUUGCUGGAACUCAUUUGUGGACUGAUCAGCGACUAAAUGGUUCCAUCUG
rnacentral:rRNA from 1 species